UACGUAGGGUGCAAGCGUUAAUCGGAAUUACUGGGCGUAAAGCGCACGUAGGCGGCUUUGUAAGUUAGAGGUGAAAGCCCGGGGCUCAACUCCGGAAUUGCCUUUAAGACUGCAUCGCUAGAAUUGUGGAGAGGUAAGUGGAAUUCCGAGUGUAGAGGUGAAAUUCGUAGAUAUUCGGAAGAACACCAGUGGCGAAGGCGACUUACUGGACACAUAUUGACGCUGCGGUGCGAAAGCGUGGGGAGCAAACAGG
rnacentral:rRNA from 1 species